rnacentral:tRNA from 1 species
GGUCCAGUAGCUCAGUUGGAUAGAGCGGCAGCCUUCUAAGCUGUAGGCCAUUGGUUCGAAUCCAAUCUGGAUCA